UACGGAGGGUGCAAGCGUUAUCCGGAUUCACUGGGUUUAAAGGGUGCGUAGGUGGGAAAGUAAGUCAGUGGUGAAAUCUCCGUGCUUAACACGGAAGCUGCCAUUGAUACUAUUUUUCUUGAAUUUUCUGGAGGUCAGCGGAAUAUGUCAUGUAGCGGUGAAAUGCUUAGAUAUGACAUAGAACACCAAUUGCGAAGGCAGCUGGCUACAGGGAUAUUGACACUGAGGCACGAAAGCGUGGGGAUCAAACAGG
rnacentral:rRNA from 1 species